rnacentral:rRNA from 1 species
CCUACGGGUGGCUGCAGUGAGGAAUAUUGGUCAAUGGCCGGAAGGCUGAACCAGCCAAGCCGCGUGAAGGAAGAAGGUUCCAAGCGUUGUAAACUUCUUUUGUCAAGGGACAAAAUCAGGCACGAGAGCCUGACCGAGGGUACUUGACGAAAAAGCAUCGGCUAACUCCGUGCCAGCAGCCGCGGUAAUACGGAGGAUGCGAGCGUUAUCCGGAUUUAUUGGGUUUAAAGGGUGCGUAGGCGGACUUGUAAGUCAGGAGGUAAAUCCCUGGGCUUAACCCCCGAACAGCGUUUGAAACUGGUUGGCUUGAGAUGACGAGAGGUAUGUGGAAUGCGCAGUGUAGCGGUGAAAUGCGUAGAUAUUGCGAAGAACACCGAUUGCGAAGGCAGCAUACCGGAGGCGAUCUGACGCUGAGGCACGAAAGCGUGGGUAGCGAACAGGAUUAGAUACCCGAGUAGUC